CCUUACUUUGGGAUAAGCCUGGGAAACUGGGUCUAAUACUGGAUAGGACCAUGCUGUAGGUGGUGUGGUGGAAAGAUUAGUUUCGGUAAGGGAUGAGCUCGCGGCCUAUCAGCUUGUUGGUGGGGUAAUGGCCUACCAAGGCGUCGACGGGUAGCCGGCCUGAGAGGGUGGGCGGCCACAUUGGGACUGAGAUACGGCCCAG
rnacentral:rRNA from 1 species